rnacentral:other from 1 species
AACACCCUACUGUGUGCGUGUGAACUGAUAUAGUAAAGAGCCAACACUCUGAAAUAGGGAGUUCGGUCUCUGGGUGCUGCAUGUAGGCCCUCCAUAGGGAAACAUAUAAGGCAUCCAGGAGGACACCCACCUGGUGAGCCGGGUCUCUAUUUACCAAUCAGUGAGUACGGCAUGGUGGGGGCUUU